rnacentral:snRNA from 23 species
AUACUUACCUAAGGGUGCCGUUCGAGAUCAAGUAGUCGUGACGGCUGAAAUCGGGGCUUGCACUGCACUUCGCACGCUUCCCGAGAUCACCAGCUGUCUUCGGACAGUAUGGGCCUUAUAAUUUUUGAUUUC